GGACAAAACGAGCUUCCCUUACGAGCCGACCUAAACCGCAUCCCCCCAAAGAAUAGAGACUAAAUGCAAAGGGACAGGACCAAGUGGAGCAUCAUUACUCCCUGAAUGCCUGGGGUUCUUUGUUGCUUCUACAUUCAGCCUUAUUUGGAUUUAGCUACAAUCCGAGCAGAAGUUCGGAAAGGUGAGUAAGGCAGCAAUGAAGGAUCACUAUAGGCUAAUGUUGUUUUCAGCUUUCUCCUUUCUCUUUCCUCCUUUUCUCUAACUUGAUAUACUUGUCAGGCAGUUUGGUGUAGUAGCAAGGACCCAGUUUGAGAGUUUUAGAUCUGCCAAUAAACUGGGUAAUUUUGGCUAAAUCACUUCUUUCUAGGUAUUAGUUUGAUGAUCUCCAAAAGGGUUUCAUCUCUGACCUCCUGUUUAUACUUUUCGGGAAGAGGGCUCUGUCCUUUAAAUAGAACUUUCACUGAAGUUCCUUGAUCUGUAUAUCAAUCUCAAAGCACCAUGUCCACUCUGCCUUCUAAACUGACAAACGGCCAGGAAUCUCAUUAAUAAGUGAAUUAAUUCUGGUUUGAUUCAUGAGCAAAAACUGUAAAUAUUUCUGUCUUUUCCCUUUUACUCUUCCAACCUUGAUAGAGUGUAUUUCUGCAAUGUGAUCCUAGACAGUGCUCUUGGUUUCUAACCUAAAGUGGCCAAUGAAAACUUUAGGAAGGAGUAUUAGCAUUUGAAGGGUUGUGUCUGUGAAGGAGGUUGGGCUGGAUGAGAUGGGCAGGGCAUUGGGAUACAGCCAUCAUUUCAUUGCAUGUGUUUGGCCAGGCUAGCAGCAGUGGACAGUGCCAGGUUUUUUGAGCAUGGUUUCUGUCACCAACAGAGUUGGCUGUCUUUGAAGUCUGAUAGUUAAACCUCUUCCAGAAUCUUAGAGUGCAACUAGCUCUCAAGAGGAGGAGGAUAAAGGAAUCUCUAGGAAUAAGAACCCCCCCUCCCAUUUUCAGUAAGAAUUCUCUUCUUCCUAUAGUUUUUUGAGUCAUCUAAUAAAUUAACAGAUUUCAGAUUUUCUCAUUUUCUUUUCAAUACCUGACCUCAUUGCCAUGGAUGGAGGCAAUAUUGAGUAAUGAAAUAGAUCUAUACCACCAAACAUAUAUUGGGCAGUAGCCACAUAUUUCUGGGUGCUUUCAUAUGAUGGACACACUAACCUGAGUAUCAUAGUUUUUGAGAAGUUUCAACAUACAGAAGACACCUGGAAGAGUCUCUUAUCUGAUACAUUGUAAACUAUCAUUAAACAUCAGUGAUUAUUAUUUUAUUAUUUCAUUUUCAUAAUUCUUAGAGGUAUAUGUUAUUAUCCCUGUUUUAUAGAGAAAGAAGUUAAAGUUUGGGGAAGGAGGAGUUCCCGUCGUGGCGCAGUGGUUAACGAAUCUGACUAGGAACCAUGAGGUUGCGGGUUCGGUCCCUGCCCUUGCUCAGUGGGUUAACGAUCCGGCGUUGCCGUGAGCUGUGGUGUAGGUUGCAGACGCGGCUCGGAUCCCACGUUGCUGUGGCUCUGGCGUAGGCCAGUGGCUACAGCUCCAAUUCGACCCCUAGCCUGGGAACCUCCAUAUGCCGCGGGAGCGGCCCAAAGAACUGGCAAAAAGACAAAAAAAAAAAAAAAAAAAA
rnacentral:lncRNA from 1 species